rnacentral:rRNA from 1 species
UACGAAGGGGGCUAGCGUUGCUCGGAAUUACUGGGCGUAAAGGGCGCGUAGGCGGCGCUGUUAGUCAGGCGUGAAAUUCCUGGGCUCAACCUGGGGACUGCGCUUGAUACGGCAGUGCUUGAGGAUGGAAGAGGCUCGCGGAAUUCCCAGUGUAGAGGUGAAAAUUCGUAGAUAUUGGGAAGAACACCGGUGGCGAAGGCGGCUCACUGGCCCGGUACUGACGCUGAGGGUGCGAAAAGCGUGGGGGAGCAAACAGG